GAUGAACGCUGGCGGCGUGCCUAAUACAUGCAAGUCGAGCGAACAGACGAGGAGCUUGCUCCUCUGACGUUAGCGGCGGACGGGUGAGUAACACGUGGAUAACCUACCUAUAAGACUGGGAUAACUUCGGGAAACCGGAGCUAAUCCCGGAUAAUAUAUUGAACCGCAUGGUUCAAUAGUGAAAGACGGUUUUGCUGUCACUUAUAGAUGGAUCUGCGCCGCAUUAGCUAGUUGGUAAGGUAACGGCUUACCAAGGCAACGAUGCGUAGCCGACCUGAGAGGGGGAUAGGCCACACUGGAACUUAGACACGGUCCAGACUCCUGCGGUAGGCAGCAGUAGGGAAUCUUCCGCAAUGGGCGAAAGCCUGACGGAGCAACGCCGCGUGAGUGAUGAAGGUCUUCGGAUCGUAAAACUCUGUUAUUAGGUAAGAACAAAUUUGUAAGUAACUAUGCACGUCUUGACGGUACCUAAUCAGAAAGCCACGGCUAACUACGUG
rnacentral:rRNA from 1 species